rnacentral:rRNA from 1 species
AGUGAACGCUGGCGGUAGGCCUAACACAUGCAAGUCGAACGGCAGCACAGUAAGAGCUUGCGCUUACGGGUGGCGAGUGGCGGACGGGUCAGGAAUACAUCGGAAUCUACUUUUUCGUGGAGGAUCACGUAGGGAAACUUAAGCUAAUACCGCAUACGCCCUACCGUUGAGAGCAUGGGAAAUUCGCACCUUGCGCGGAUGGAUGAGCCGCUGUGGGAUUUGCUGGUUGGCGGGGUAAAGGCCCACCCAGGCGACGAUCCGUAGCUGGUCUGAGAGGAUGAUCAGCGACACUGGAACUGGGACACGGUCCAGACUCCUAAGGGAGGGAGCAGUGGGGAAUAUGGGACAAUGGGGGCGAGCCUGAUCCAGCGAUACGGCGUGGGUGAAGAAGGCCUUCGGGUUGUAAAGCCCUUUUGUUGGGAAAGAAACGCAGCAGGUUAAUACCACGCUGUUGUGACGGUACCGAAUGAAUAAGCACCGGCUAACUUCGUG